AGUGAACGAGGGCGGGAGGGAGAACAACGACAAGUCGAACUGCAGCACAGUAAGAGCUUGCUCUUACGGGUGGCGAGUGGCGGACGGGUGAGGAAUACAUCGGAAUCUACUUUUUCGUGGGGGAUAACGUAGGGAAACUUACGCUAAUACCGCAUACGACCUACGGGUGAAAGCAGGGGAUCUUCGGACCUUGCGCGAUUGAAUGAGCCGAUGUCGGAUUAGCUAGUUGGCGGGGUAAAGGCCCACCAAGGCGACGAUCCGUAGCUGGUCUGAGAGGAUGCUCAGCCACACUGGAACUGAGACACGGUCCAGACUCCUACGGGAGGCAGCAGUGGGGAAUAUUGGACAAUGGGCGCAAGCCUGAUCCAGCCAUACCGCGUGGGUGAAGAAGGCCUUCGGGUUGUAAAGCCCUUUUGUUGGGAAAGAAAAGCAGCAGGUUAAUACCCCGCUGUUCUGACGGUACCCAAAGAAUAAGCACCGGCUAACUUCGUG
rnacentral:rRNA from 1 species